rnacentral:rRNA from 1 species
CCUACGGGAGGCAGCAGUGAGGAAUAUUGGUCAAUGGGCUUACGCCUGAACCAGCCAAGCCGCGUGAGGGAAGACUGCCCUAGGGGUUGUAAACUUCUUUUGUCAGGGAGCAACGCCGGCUACGUGUAGCCGGACUGAGAGUACCUGACGAAAAAGCAUCGGCUAACUCCGUGCCAGCAGCCGCGGUAAUACGGAGGAUGCGAGCGUUAUCCGGAUUUAAUGGGUGUAAAGGGUGCGUAGGCGGAAUGCCAAGUCAGCGGUAAAAUCGCGGGGCUCAACCUCGGUCCGCCGUUGAAACUGGCGUUCUUGAGUGGGCGAGAGGUAUGCGGAAUGCGUGGUGUAGCGGUGAAAUGCGUAGAUAUCACGCAGAACUCCGAUUGCGAAGGCAGCAUACCGGCGCCCAACUGACGCUGAAGCACGAAAGCGUGGGUAUCGAACAGGAUUAGAUACCCCAGUAGUC